rnacentral:rRNA from 1 species
AUUGAACGCUGGCGGCAGGCUUAACACAUGCAAGUCGAGCGGAGAUGAGGUGCUUGCACCUUAUCUUAGCGGCGGACGGGUGAGUAAUGCUUAGGAAUCUGCCUAUUAGUGGGGGACAACAUUCCGAAAGGAAUGCUAAUACCGCAUACGCCCUACGGGGGAAAGCAGGGGAUCUUCGGACCUUGCGCUAAUAGAUGAGCCUAAGUCGGAUUAGCUAGUUGGUGGGGUAAAGGCCUACCAAGGCGACGAUCUGUAGCGGGUCUGAGAGGAUGAUCCGCCACACUGGGACUGAGACACGGCCCAGACUCCUACGGGAGGCAGCAGUGGGGAAUAUUGGACAAUGGGCGGAAGCCCGAUCCAGCCAUGCCGCGUGUGUGAAGAAGGCCUUUUGGUUGUAAAGCACUUUAAGCGAGGAGGAGGCUACCUGGAUUAAUACCCUAGGAUAGUGGACGUUACUCGCAGAAUAAGCACCGGCUAACUCUGUGCCAGCAGCCGCAGUAAAAC